GACGAACGCUGGCGGCGUGCUUAACACAUGCAAGUCGAACGAUGAAGCCGGAGCUUGCUCUGGUGAAUUAGUGGCGAACGGGUGAGUAACACGUGGGCAACCUGCCCUUCACUUCGGGAUAACUCCGGGAAACCGGGGCUAAUACCGGAUAUGACCUCUGCGGGCAUCCGCGGAGGUGGAAAGUUUUUCGGUGAAGGAUGGGCCCGCGGCCUAUCAGCUUGCUGGUGAGGUAGUGGCUCACCAAGGCGACGACGGGUAGCCGGCCUGAGAGGGCGACCGGCCACACUGGGACUGAGACACGGUCCAGACUCCUACGGGAGGCAGCAGUGGGGAAUAUUGCGCAAUGGGCGAAAGCCUGACGCAGCAACGCCGCGUGCGGGAUGACGGCCUUCGGGUUGUAAACCGCUUUCAGCAGGGAAGAAGCCGCAAGGUGACGGUACCUGCAGAAGAAGCACCGGCUAACUACGUGCCAGCAGCCGCGGUAA
rnacentral:rRNA from 1 species